rnacentral:tRNA from 1 species
GGAGGAGUAGCGAAAUGGCUAAACGCGGCGGUCUGUAAAACCGCUCUCUCUGAGUUCGGCGGUUCGAAUCCACCCUCCUCCA